GGGCGUUAAGUUGCAGGGUAUAGACCCGAAACCCGGUGAUCUAGCCAUGGGCAGGUUGAAGGUUGGGUAACACUAACUGGAGGACCGAACCGACUAAUGUUGAAAAAUUAGCGGAUGACCUGUGGCUGGGGGUGAAAGGCCAAUCAAACCGGGAGAUAGCUGGUUCUCCCCGAAAGCUAUUUAGGUAGCGCCUCGUGAAUUCAUCUCCGGGGGUAGAGCACUGUUUCGGCUAGGGGGCCAUCCCGGCUUACCAACCCGAUGCAAACUGCGAAUACCGGAGAAUGUUAUCACGGGAGACACACGGCGGGUGCUAACGUCCGUCGUGAAGAGGGAAACAACCCAGACCGCCAGCUAAGGUCCCAAAGUCAUGGUUAAGUGGGAAACGAUGUGGGAAGGCCCAGACAGCCAGGAUGUUGGCUUAGAAGCAGCCAUCAUUUAAAGAAAGCGUAAUAGCUCACUGGUCGAGUCGGCCUGCGCGGAAGAUGUAACGGGGCUAAACCAUGCACCGAAGCUGCGGCAGCGACGCUGAUGCGUUGUUGGGUAGGGGAGCGUUCUGUAAGCCUGUGAAGGUGUGUCGUGAGGCAUGCUGGAGGUAUCAGAAGUGCGAAUGCUGACAUAAGUAACGAUAAAGCGGGUGAAAAGCCCGCUCGCCGGAAGACCAAGGGUUCCUGUCCAACGUUAAUCGGGGCAGGGUGAGUCGACCCCUAAGGCGAGGCCGAAAGGCGUAGUCGAUGGGAAACGGGUUAAUAUUCCCGUACUUGGUGUUACUGCGAAGGGGGGACGGAGAAGGCUAUGUUGGCCGGGCGACGGUUGUCCCGGUUUAAGCGUGUAGGUGUGUGUUCCAGGUAAAUCCGGUUCACUUUAACACUGAGGCGUGACGACGAGGCACUACGGUGCUGAAGCAACAAAUGCCCUGCUUCCAGGAAAAGCCUCUAAGCAUCAGGUAACACGAAAUCGUACCCCAAACCGACACAGGUGGUCAGGUAGAGAAUACCAAGGCGCUUGAGAGAACUCGGGUGAAGGAACUAGGCAAAAUGGUGCCGUAACUUCGGGAGAAGGCACGCUGACACGUAGGUGAAGUGAUUUACUCAUGGAGCUGAAGUCAGUCGAAGAUACCAGCUGGCUGCAACUGUUUAUUAAAAACACAGCACUGUGCAAACACGAAAGUGGACGUAUACGGUGUGACGCCUGCCCGGUGCCGGAAGGUUAAUUGAUGGGGUCAGCGUAAGCGAAGCUCCUGAUCGAAGCCCCGGUAAACGGCGGCCGUAACUAUAACGGUCCUAAGGUAGCGAAAUUCCUUGUCGGGUAAGUUCCGACCUGCACGAAUGGCGUAAUGAUGGCCAGGCUGUCUCC
rnacentral:rRNA from 1 species